UGGAAAUAGUUUUUGUCAAAAAGUUAGUUUAACUCGCCACAUGAGGAUUCACACAGGUGAAAAGCCGUUUUCAUGUGUGAACUGUGGAAAAAGUUUUAUUC